AGUGCUGAGUGGAGUGCUGGAGCCCAGACUCUGGCUAGAGCAUUGGGAGGUUUUUUGGAGCACAAGUGACAGGCAAUUCAGGAUUUAUGUUACAGAAAGGGCUGUGGUUGCAACUGGCACCUGCAAUGAAAUGCUGACCACUUUCAGAAAAAUCUGUAAACAACUGUAUUAAGCUUGGAAGAUUUAACUGGAAGAUUUGUCUGGCUGGCUGGUAAUUGAUAGAACAGAGAAUUUGUAUUCAAGUCUUUGAUUACUGAUUAGGUUUGGAUGGCAACCUGUUCAACCAGGUUAGCAGCAAGGCACUUCUAUGCAUGCUGAGUGUUGCACAUCUAGGAGUGAAGGAAUUUAAACCAAGUACAACACCAGCAUAUUGAAUUGUGUGGUGACAUGCAAACAGAGUGUAAUGAUCCCCAUCAAUUGCUGCAGGCAGGCUUGUGGGCAGGGAUCUGGAGGCAAUGGAGAGAUUAGCUCACUGACAUCUCCUCACCUUGAAAAUAGAAUUUAGCCUGGAACAACUUCUUUGGUGUAAUCUGUUUAAAAAGAAAAGACAGAUGCUUUAUUUGUAUCAAGAAAUUUUGUAUUUAAACUAUGCUUCCAAGUGAAAUGUGCCCUCGAGGAAUCUCUCCAGUGAUGUCAGAUGUUAACAUGCCUAGCUUUU